CUUUACAUAGUGAUUUAGUGAUUGUGGGCGGCAGUUUAAAUAGUUUCUGCUGAUAUUGGGAGUUUGAAGUUUGAAAAAACUGUUAUAUAUCAAUGAAGUGGAAGUUGUUGAUUACUUCUGCUUAUUGAGCAAUACAACCGGGAGUCAUCUACGCUACGAGCUUGUGAAAAUUUGAGGAAAAAGAUGGAGGAGCGGGAUGUGGACCAGCUUAUCCGAGAGAAGGAUUCAGACUGAUGGACAACUCACCUAUUGGGGACUUGACCCAGCAGCUCUUCUUCCCCCAUCAUGCCAAGCAGACUGGUCCAACAUUUUUCAAAACUCCGGAGAAAUGUGCUGCCUGGAAAUUGGCUGCCUUCGGAGAAUUUGCAUAAGGCUCAGGACAGCAGGUGUUUUAUUUGUUGGAUGUGACAGAGGUGCCAGGGAAGGGAGCAUAGACAGUUGUGAGCUUGGACAACAUAUGCGGAUUGAGAUAUCUAGGAUAACCAUUGGGAGCUCCUUGGCCAUUUUCCAUCGAAAACAACCUCAGAUGUUUAUGGAUGGUUUACAAGAUGUACUGGCCGAACUACUUCUACAGAUGUACUGGCCGAACUACUUCUACAGAUGUACUGGCAAAACUACUUCUACAGAUGUACUGGCUGAACUACUUCUACAGAUGUACUGGCUGAACUACUUCUACAGAUGUACUGGCUGAACUACUUCUACAGAUGUACUGGCUGAACUACUUCUACAGAUGUACUGGCUGAACUACUUCUACAGAUGUACUGGCUGAACUACUUCUACAGAUGUACUGGCCGAACUACUUCUACAGAUGUACUGGCCGAACUACUUCUACAGAUGUACUGGCCAAACUACUUCUACAGAUGUACUGGCCAAACUACUUCUACAGAUGUACUGGCAGAACUACUUCUACAGAUGUACUGGCCGAACUACUUCUACAGAUGUACUGGCCGAACUACUUCUACAGAUGUACUGGCCAAACUACUUCUACAGAUGUACUGGCCGAACUACUUCUACAGAUGUACUGGCUGAACUACUUCUACAGAUGUACUGGCUGAACUACUUCUACAGAUGUACUGGCUGAACUACUUCUACAGAUGUACUGGCCGAACUACUUCUACAAAUGUACUGGCAAACAUCAAGGUUUAUCAUUUUCGAUUGAAAAUGGCCGAGAAGUUCCAAAUGCAAGCAGGAUCUACCCUGGGGCACUUCAGUCCAUUAUGGAAAAUCAAAUGCUGAGAUGAUAGAAGAAGCAGCUGCGACUGUGACCAGCUCAUCAAGGAGUGACCAACUUGUAGCUGAUGCCUGAAAACCAGUCCAGCUCUUCCAUUGGAAACACUACCUACCACUGUUUUUCUAGCUAUUGAAAAACAUCUCGAAGUAACACCAUUUUGUACUUGAAGCAGAUGGACCCAGAUUUGUGCAGUGCAGAGAGAUCGCUGAAUCAGAUGCUGCGGAGUACAACUACUUGACUAUGCUUCGUUGCUGAAAAUUGGAGGAGUUGUCUCACCUGAACUCCCAUGCGUAUCUGCACCUAGGGCAUGGAUCUUGAACAACAGUGAUAUUCACAUGAGAAGAUAAGGAAAUACUUCAGAAUUGACAUUAAUAAAGACAAAGCUUACCCUGGACCAUCUCAACCAAAGCAAUGAACACAUUGUAACCUUUUUCUUCUACAAUUUCUUUUGAUAUGUCUGUCAUACAACUGAUGUAUGGUAGGGUGAAAUAUGUUUUCAACUAUAAUAUAUGUUCUCUAUUGAAGGUUGUUUAUUGUAAUCAACAAUUGACAUUCAUUGUAUUAUUCGCCUGUGAACUUUUACAAAAUUCCCUUGAUAGCUUUACUUUAAAGAUGCUCUCUUACUCCCAAAUAAGAUGUACCACAAUUAAUACAAAUGUUUUUCUAUACCAGUGGUAACCAUAAAGGACAAAAACAUGUCAAAAACAAAAUUUCUUUUUGAAGGAUACACAGUUAAAGUUUUUGGAAAUGUAGAAAACACGAUUUAUACAUUAUGAUUGGAUAGUAGAUCACAAUCUUUUAGCACCCACCAGUAAUUUAAUAUUUUUCCUUUAUAAGCUAUUAAUACAUGGUUAUAAUUAUGUUAUUAGUAAUUUAUAUCUUCCAUAUAUAUGCAUUAUGUAGUAUAAAGUAGAAGUUUAAUUACUAAUAAUUGCAUAUGUUAUUCAUGUGUUUAAAUUGAAUUUUAAUAAGAUUGUCACUUUAAAGGGACUGUACACCAGAUUGGCACUAAAAAAAGUUUUUUUCUGUAACAAAUCUCAGGACAAUUAUUUAAUAAAGUGUUUUACUCUUUGAUAUCAUAAUUGUAUUUUUCUUUAUCAAAAUGCAGUCCAGUGUUGUAUCCACUGUGCUACGAAGACUUACCCUAAUGAUUGGAAUAUUUUAGCUGUAUACCUAAUUUGGUAAUAUCACAUGAUGACAUCGACUAGCCAAUCAUGCAUAAGGAAUGAAUUCUACUAGGUAGACAUACCCUAUAAUCUUUUUUAAUGGAAAAAUACUAAAAAACUGCGAAAAAUAAAUUAUUUGUAAACUAUGAGGUACUUCAAUUAGUAAGUUUUAAUGCAUUGUUCACAUCGAUAACAAGUUUAAGUCCGGUUUUGACAAUUUUCAUUUUUUUUUCGCAAUUUCAUCAUUAUGGAGUACAGCCCCUUUAAACUUAUUUUUGUUAACUUUUAAUGUCUGCCUGAAUCAUCAAUUUGAAGUCAAAUGUUUGAUCUGGUUUAUAAGAAGGCUGAACUGCAAUGUCAAAACAAAACAUGAACUAUAUAUUUAGAUGUAUAUUUAGUUUUAUCAUGAUAAUAUUUCAGUUUGUUUUCUUUAUCAUAAUUAUUACUUACUAUAAUUUUGUAUCUUGGUAAAAUAGGUAUGUAAGAAAAGAACACAGUUUAUUAUAAGCUUUCCUGUAGUUGAUAGAGGUUUAUCAGUGAAAUAAAUACAUAAAAUAAAUACCAGAAUAAAACUGUUAAUUGUAUCAGGGUUCCCACGGUCAGGAAAAAGUAAAUUGGGAAAGGUUUUUUUUUCAAGGUCAGGGUCAUGUCAUGGAAUUUUGAAAUUGGUCAGGGAAAAAAGAUUUUUUGGCAAAAGUAGGGAAUUUUAUAAUGAAGGGGCAUUGGUCGUACAACUACUCUCAUUUAUUGACCGAUAAGGCAGUUUCUUCCAUUUUGUAUUAUUGUUGUCAUUAUAAAUAUAUACGCACAUUUUGUACCUUAUUAAUCAAUAGCUUUAUAUUGCUGUAUAUGCUUGUGUAAAAGUACUUGUGGUAUUAGCUCAUGCACUUUAUUUUUAUAUCACAGGAUGUUUUUUUUAAUUUGUGAGCAGUUUCUAUGCAUAUAACACUUAAAUGCUAAUAUUAGAGCAUUGUUAUGUCAUGUAUGAGCUUGAUUUGUAUGUUUAUGAUUCUCCUAAUUCAUUCCUAAGUAUUAAUAUCAGUAUUUAAUAGCUUUUACUGAAAUGACCAUUUAAGGAGAAUUUCUAUGAUUAUUAUUUGUACAAGUUUUGUGUCGAAUCCAUUUAAAAAUCAUACAGGGAAAAAAAUACAAUGAAGGGCAGGGGAUUUGUUUUCUUAUUUGAUUGUCUUGUUUUAUACUACCAGUAGAUACAAAAACAUUUCAUUGGCUAGAUUUUUAUACAAUACUUAUUGAAACUGUGAUAUUUUUUUAGAUAAUACUUAGGAUGAAGAGGGAGAUUACAAAAAAGAAAGAAAAAAAAAGAAUAAACAUAAAAUUUAUUGAAAUAGUACAAGGAGGUAAGGGUUGGCUAUGGGGAAGGAAGGAGGCCAAUAUCUUAAGUACAUUUCAUGCUCAUAUAUGACCUGUAUGUGUGGUUUUUAGCAUGUGAAUUGGUCAGGGAAAAUUGAAUUUAGUCAGGGAAAAGUCAGGGAAUUUUGAAAUUGGUCAGGGAAAAAAGAUUUUUGGCAAAAGUCAGGGAAUUUUAUGAUGAAGGGGCAUUGGUCGAACAACUACUCUCAUUUAGUGACAAAAGGCUAAGGCAGUUUCUUCCAUUUUUUAUGAAUGUUCAUUAUUAAAAUAUACACACAUUUUGUACCUUAUUAAUCAAUAGCUUUAUAUUGCUGUAUAUGCUUGUGUAAAAGUUCUUUUGGUAUUAGCUCAUGCACUUUAUUUUAUAUCACAGGGUGUUUUUAAAUUUGUGAGCAGUUUCUAUGCAUAUAACACUUAACUGCUAAUAUAAGAGCAUUGUAAUGUCAUGUAUGAGCUAGAUUUGUAUGUUUAUGAUUCUCUUAAUUCAUUCCUAAGUAUUAGUAUCAGUAUUUAAUAGCUUUUACUGAAAUGACCUUUAAGGAGAAUUUCUAUGAUUAUUAUUUGUACAAGUUUUGUGUUGAAUCCAUCUAAAAAAACAUACAGAGAAAAAAAAGUUAAGGGCAGGGGAUCUGUUUUCUUAAUUUGAUUGUUUGUCUUGUAUUAUACUACCAGUAGAUACAAACAUUUCAUUGGCUGAAUUUUUUUUACAAUACUAAUUGAAUCUAUGUCAUAAUUUUUAAGAUACUACAUUUACUUAGGAUAAAGAGGGAGAUUACAAAAAAUAAAGAAAAAAUAAAGAAUAAACAUAAAAUUUAUUGAAAUAGUACAAGGAGGUAAGGGUUGGCUAUGGGGAAGGAAGGAGGCCAAUAUCUUAAGUACAUUUCAUGCUCAUAUAUGACCUGUAUGUGUGGUUUUGAGCACGUGAAUUGGUCAGGGAAAAUUGAAUUUAGUCAGGGAAAAGUCAGUGAAGUCAGCGAAUUUUGUUUUGCCAUCUUUGUGGGAUUUUUCCCUGCUAUUUCUGAAUCUUUGGAAUGUCUCAACAUAAUGUUCAUCACAAAAGUAAAGUUUUUGCGUGUUAUUGAAGUGUUUUAUGUGAUGUGGUGUGUGGUCAGUCGAGGGGAAAGGCCCGAAUAUGCACGGGGUUUAAUAGUAUCAGUCAUUUCUACGCUAGACUUAAGGGGUUAACUUAAUUUUAUUCAAAUUUGAGUCGAUUGAUGUUUGGCACAAAGAUGUUUUAUGCAUUAAUGUUAUUAUCAUAUUCUGAAAAUUGUUAAGUUCAUUUGGAACGUUUAUAGUAACAUGUAAACCGUUAGUUUAAAUAGAAAAAAGAAAGGUCACGAAAUUGAAAUGUUUCAAAAGGUAUUGAUGAAUAAUGAAUUAAAUACAGAUACAUUUUGAUGUCAUAGAAAAUAUGAAUGAAUUUUGAAGCAUUAUGGUAUUCUGAGGUACAGUUUUCCAGAGUUAUUUUACAAACAGUUGAAGUUUUGAUCUCUGGUUUUUACCCUGUCUUGGAAUAUCAUAAUUUGUACAACGUUGUAUAAUUAGAACAUUGUACAUAGAUGUUGUAUGUUAACAAUUUUUGGUAAAUAUGUAUAUUUGUUAUUUGUUUAAAGUCUGUCCGAGAAACAUAAAUUGAUCGCAAGUCUUGCUCAAAGCAACAAGUGUUUGUGUUUAGUUGUGUUAAGACAUUACCAUAACAACAUAAGUAUUAUUACACAUGCUCUUAACUUUUAGAAGGUAAUUCUAAAAUGACUGUCUAUACUUUUGUAAUUUAAGUAGAUUUUUAAUGCUUAUACUUUGUAAUUUGAGUGGUUUUUAAAUUCCAUUAAUUGAGUAGAUUUUUUAAUGCCUAGCUAGUCCCAAUUUCUCGAAACUUCUCAAGCAUAACAGACUUAAGUAGCUUAAAAUAGUUAGCCAAAAUGCAUACGCAUACUUUAAUUGGAAUUUGAUGCAUGAAAAAUGGUUUAUUGUAAUUGACAAUUCAUAGUAUAACAGUACUCAAAAGAAGUAAAUAUAAUGCACAUUAUUGAAAAACAAAAAUAGUGAGCUUAGCUUAGUCCUGUUAUAAAAUAAAAUGAAAGUGUAUAUCCUUUAAUUAUAAGUUUAUUUAUACACACGCUGUUUUCUCAUUUAACCGCUGAAUGUAUAAUGAAGUUUCAAAAUGGGGGCGAUCAUGUUUGUAAUUAAAGUAUUUAUUUUAAUGCCUUUAUUUUUGUUAAGUAGUUUUUUAUCCACUAGUUGUGUUGCAUAUUGUAUUGCAUUUUAUUGUCAUUGCCAUGGUAACAUUGUUAAUAUCGAUGAAAGUAUUAUCAUGAUAUUACUAGAAAUUUGUAAUCACUUAGAUUAUGUUAUUUUGUGUAUGAUAUAAUUAUAUAAAUACAUG